rnacentral:rRNA from 1 species
UACGUAGGGUGCAAGCGUUGUCCGGAAUUAUUGGGCGUAAAGAGCUCGUAGGCGGUCUGUCGCGUCGGCUGUGAAAUCCCGAGGCUCAACCUCGGGUCUGCAGUCGAUACGGGCAAACUUGAGUGUUGCAGGGGAGACUGGAAUUCCUGGUGUAGCGGUGAAAUGCGCAGAUAUCAGGAGGAACACCGGUGGCGAAGGCGGGUCUCUGGGCAACUACUGACGCUGAGGAGCGAAAGCGUGGGGAGCGAACAGG